rnacentral:rRNA from 1 species
AUUGAACGCUGGCGGCAUGCCUUACACAUGCAAGUCGAACGGCAGCACGGGGGCAACCCUGGUGGCGAGUGGCGAACGGGUGAGUAACACAUCGGAACGUGUCCCGUAGUGGGGGAUAGC